AACAUCACUAGUCGGCACGUCUGGUAGCGUCUCUGGCUGCUGUUGACCUUGUUUUUGGAGUAAAACACGGUGGAAGCUGAAUUAGUGAGGAUGACUCCUGCUCCUGUCAUCUCUAAGCUCCUCACACAUCUUUACCUGCACAUGAGGAAAAUCACUCCUGUAGAAUGCAGUGGUUCAUCAGAACCUCUGGGGAUCCUGUGGAUUCUGUGGAUCCUGUGGGUUGCAGGGUGGGUCCUACCUAGACCAGGCUGAUCCUGGACCAUCCCACAGAUGCUCCAUCAGAUGUGGAUGUGGGGAGUGUGGAACCCAGAUGUUCAGAGGGAGAUGAUGCCACAUCUGGUCCAGCUGAUGGAAGGUCUUGAAGUUCUCUGACUGGCCUCGACUGAAGAUGGUCGUCUCACUGGAUUUAAGGUUCAGAUGCUCAGUAACAAACUCCACCAAUGAGCCAACAGGGAAGCUUUAGGUUUGUUAAAUGUUGCUAUGAAGGUAUCGCUGUUUUUCUUUGUGAAUGCAAUGUGCUCCAACUGAAACUUGAAUUAGAACUUAGAAGUAAAUCCUUCCAUCUGAAAGGAUUUAGUUGCAUUAAUAACCUCAUAACAUUCUAAUUUUUAUUCCAGUCUUGGUUGGAAAUAGAAUCUCUGUAUUGAUUCAGGUAAAAACUGAACUUCACAGCAUGUUGAAGCAAAACAACCAGAUGAAAACUGUGAUGGUGUUGGAUUGUCAGACCGUAAUGUUGCAGCUCAAAGCAGCUUUUCUAGCUCAGUUCAUUCUGACAUUCA
ensembl:lncRNA